CCUUAUCCUCCACUAUUUCAGGACAGUGCCAUGUAUCCAUCUCAUGGAAUUCAGUCAAAUACAGCCUAACUAAUCAAGCUAGAGGUUGCUUGUUUGACCUGACUGCACCCACGAGGAUAUCGUGUGGUGUACACUAAUCUCUCGCUGCAUAUACUUGUCCAUAAAUACAGCACCCUAGCGAAAUCAAAGUAGUACAACACAAGGCUCUCUAUCAGGAAUUCGAUCAGGAUCAUCGUCCAUCAGUCGAGACCCGAGAGCGCGUGGUUCAGUUCAACAGGCUUCGCAGUACGAGAAUGAGCUCCUCGGACGACUCCUGCGGCAAGAAGGCGUCAUGGCCGGAGCUGGUUGGGAUGUCCAUCGAGGAGGCGAAGAAGAUCAUCAUGAAGGACAGGCCAGACGUGAAGAUCAUCGAGGUCUUCCCAGUCGGCACCGCGGUCACCGAGGACUUGAGGUUCGACCGUGUCCGCAUCUUCGUCAACACAGUUGCGGAGAUCCCCCGCAUUGGCUAGCUUCGCUUCUUGCUCGAUUCGGUUGACGUGUGUUUGUGUUUGUGUUUGUUAUAUUCCUGAAUAAACCAUAGCUGGA